rnacentral:tRNA from 1 species
GGGUGAUUAGCUCAGCUGGGAGAGCACCUCCCUUACAAGGAGGGGGUCGGCGGUUCGAUCCCUGAUAUCGUGCU